rnacentral:RNase_P_RNA from 1 species
UGGGGCGAACGCAUGAUCGCUCCGGUCUUAGUACCGGGGAGGAAAGUCCGAACACCGCAGAGCACGGUGGUUCUUAACAGGAACGCCGGGAAACCGGGGGAAAGUGCCACAGAAAAUACACCGCCGAUGGGACAGGUAACUGUUCACAGGUAAGGUUGAAAUGGCGAGGUAAGAGCUUCACCGCUUUCAUGGUGACAUGAAAGGCAAGGCAAACCCCACCGGGUGCAAGACCAAAUAGGGAAACGUUUGAGGGCUGCUCGCCUGAAGUUUCCGGGUAGGUUGCACGAGGUGCUGGGCAACCGGCAUCCAAGUCAAAUGAUCAUGGCCUGCGGCAGUAAUGCAGGAACAGAAUUCGGCUUAUAGUCCGCCCCAAUUU